UGAGGAAUAUUGGUCAAUGGGCGGGAGCCUGAACCAGCCAAGCCGCGUGAGGGAAGAAGGCCCUAUGGGUCGUAAACCUCUUUUGUCAGGGAACAAAAGCGAGUAUGUAUACUGGUCUGAGUGUACCUGAAGAAAAACGCAUCGGCUAACUCCGUGCCAGCAGCCGCGGUAAUACGGAGGAUGCGAGCGUUAUCCGGAUUUAUUGGGUUUAAAGGGUGCGUAGGCGGCGGUGCAAGUCAGCGGUAAAAGCCCGGGGCUCAACCCCGGCGAGCCGUUGAAACUGCAGCGCUAGAGAAGGCGAGAGGUACGCGGAAUGCGCAGUGUAGCGGUGAAAUGCUUAGAUAUUGCGCAGAACUCCGAUUGCGAAGGCAGCGUACUGGCGCCUGACUGACGCUGAGGCACGAAAGCGUGGGGAUCGAACAGGAUUAGAUACC
rnacentral:rRNA from 1 species